rnacentral:lncRNA from 1 species
CCUUCUCUUCUCAUGUCAAGAGUGGAUAAGGAUGGGUUGUUUUGCAUUUGAAUUCAAAUUUGAUUUGAAUUCAAAUGAACAACCACUUAUCUUUAUCCUCUCACGCGGUAAAAAUGCUGCAAAGAUGCGAUCUUGCAUCGUUUUAAAAAGGAGAUAAGAUAGGACAUGCGCAUAAAACAUCUGAGAGAGAAGGGUGGCAUGAGAAAAGUCUUGUGCAUGAGAAAAGAAAAGAAAAAAAGAAAAGAAGGGAAAAGAAGAGAGUAGUGGGCGCAGGCUUUUCUUGAGUACCCUAGGGUUUCUGCCUAG